rnacentral:tRNA from 1 species
ACCUAGCUGGCUCAGUCAGUAGAGCAUGAGACUCUCGAUCCCCAGGUUGUGAGUUCUAGCCCCACAUUGGGUG